rnacentral:rRNA from 2 species
AGUCGAGCGGACCGACGGGAGCUUGCUCCCUUAGGUCAGCGGCGGACGGGUGAGUAACACGUGGGUAACCUGCCUGUAAGACUGGGAUAACUCCGGGAAACCGGGGCUAAUACCGGAUGCUUGAUUGAACCGCAUGGUUCAAUCAUGAAAGGCGGCUUCGGCUGCCGUUUACAGAUGGACCCGCGGCGCAUUAGCUAGUUGGUGAGGUAACGGCUCACCAAGGCGACGAUGCGUAGCCGACCUGAGAGGGUGAUCGGCCACACUGGGACUGAGACACGGCCCAGACUCCUACGGGAGGCAGCAGUAGGGAAUCUUCCGCAAUGGACGAAAGUCUGACGGAGCAACGCCGCGUGAGUGAUGAAGGUUUUCGGAUCGUAAAGCUCUGUUGUUAGGGAAGAACAAGUACCGUUCGAAUAGGGCGGUACCUUGACGGUACCUAACCAGAAAGCCACGGCUAACUACGUGCCAGCAGCCGCGGUAAUACGUAGGUGGCAAGCGUUGUCCGGAAUUAUUGGGCGUAAAGCGCGCGCAGGCGGUUUCUUAAGUCUGAUGUGAAAGCCCCCGGCUCAACCGGGGAGGGUCAUU